GACGAACGCUGGCGGCGUGCCUAAUACAUGCAAGUCGAACGCUUCUUUCCUCCCGAGUGCUUGCACUCAAUUGGAAAGAGGAGUGGCGGACGGGUGAGUAACACGUGGGUAACCUACCCAUCAGAGGGGGAUAACACUUGGAAACAGGUGCUAAUACCGCAUAACAGUUUAUGCCGCAUGGCAUAAGAGUGAAAGGCGCUUUCGGGUGUCGCUGAUGGAUGGACCCGCGGUGCAUUAGCUAGUUGGUGAGGUAACGGCUCACCAAGGCCACGAUGCAUAGCCGACCUGAGAGGGUGAUCGGCCACACUGGGACUGAGACACGGCCCAGACUCCUACGGGAGGCAGCAGUAGGGAAUCUUCGGCAAUGGACGAAAGUCUGACCGAGCAACGCCGCGUGAGUGAAGAAGGUUUUCGGAUCGUAAAACUCUGUUGUUAGAGAAGAACAAGGACGCUAGUAACUGAACGUCCCCUGACGGUAUCUAACCAGAAAGCCACGGCUAACUACGUGCCAGCAGCCGCGGUAAUACGUAGGUGGCAAGCGUUGUCCGGAUUUAUUGGGCGUAAAGCGAGCGCAUGCGGUUUCUUAAGUCUGAUGUGAAAGCCCCCGGCUCAGCCGGGGAGGGUCAUUGGAAACUGGGAGACUUGAGUGCAGAAGAGGAGAGUGGAAUUCCAUGUGUAGCGGUGAACUGCGUAGAUAUAUGGAGCAACACCAGUGGCGAAGGCUGCUCUCUGGUCUGUAACUGACGCUGAGGCUCGAAAGCGUGGGGAGCAAACAUGAUUAGAUACCCUGGCAGUCCACGCCGUAAACAAUGAGUGCUAAGUGUUGGAGGGUUUCCGCCCUUCAGUGCUGCAGCAAACGCAUUAACCACUCCGCCUGGGGAGUACGACCGCAAGGUUGAAACUCAAAGGAAUUGACGGGGGCCCGCACAAGCGGUGGAGCAUGUGGUUUAAUUCGAAGCUACGCGAAGAACCUUACCAGGUCUUGACAUCCUUUGACCACUCUAGAGAUAGAGCUUUCCCUUCGGGGACAAAGUGACAGGUGGUGCAUGGUUGUCGUCAGCUCGUGUCGUGAGAUGUUGGGUUAAGUCCCGCAACGAGCGCAACCCUUAUUGUUAGUUGCCAUCAUUUAGUUGGGCACUCUAGCGAGACUGCCGGUGACAAACCGGAGGAAGGUGGGGAUGACGUCAAAUCAUCAUGCCCCUUAUGACCUGGGCUACACACGUGCUACAAUGGGAAGUACAACGAGUCGCUAGACCGCGAGGUCAUGCAAAUCUCUUAAAGCUUCUCUCAGUUCGGAUUGCAGGCUGCAACUCGCCUGCAUGAAGCCGGAAUCGCUAGUAAUCGCGGAUCAGCACGCCGCGGUGAAUACGUUCCCGGGCCU
rnacentral:rRNA from 1 species